UUUCUGCCAAUAUUUAGGAAAUCGGUUAGGACUUCCUAGCUAAGAUAUUCCUAAGAUAGCUUUGAUGUGCCUGCUGAGACGUGUCCUAAGUCGGUCCUAACUUUAUCCUAAAUCCUGUCCUAAGAAAUUCUUAGGACGGAACUUAGGAUAUUUUCGAUAAACAGGCCCCUGAUCAAUGUUCUUAAGCAACACAUAUUUUCCUUUCAUUUUGUUGUUAGCUUUCUGAAAUAAAUUUUUACAUAUUAUAGAGUAUUAUGAUUCUUUUUUUUCAAUAUAGUUAAACACUAUUUCUGAUUUGAUUUUUCAUAAAUUUUAACAUGUUUACAUGUCUUUUUCUUUUUCUUCAUCUUUUUGAAACCCUGGUUUUGUAUUACCACUGACCAGUUCAGUAAAGAGACAGCUGCUUCAUGUUUGCAUAAAUGUGUUUG
rnacentral:lncRNA from 1 species